rnacentral:snRNA from 1 species
AUGCUCACUUUGGCAGAACAUAUAUGAAGAUUGGAACGAUACAGGGAAGAUUAGCAUAGCCCCUAUGCACAAAAAUCUCUAACUCUGGCAAAAUGAAAUGUAUCAAUGUGUU